CCUGGGCAAGGCAUCGGGCGCCAGGAAGGACCGAGGCUGAUCACCAAGCUGUUCUGAAACGCCAAAGGCCAGAGAUUAUUAUCUUAGUUUUUUGUUUUUCCUUAUUAGUAGUUCUGAUUUUAAUUCUGUGAUUUGAGGUAAUAUCUUGGGUGAUCCGAGUAGUGAGCUGUUUUUGCCCCUAUUGCUGCUACUAUAGUUUAUACAUGACUCAAUACGAUGACAUGUAAACUUAAAGUUUCAUAUUUGUUACCGCUUUACAAGUGCAAGGGUUUUUGUUACCAGAUGUUUUGACCGAGCUAUCACUGUUACCAGACAUUGUGGUGAAACCGUCUUAUUGUUUUCCCAGAAUAGGAGCUGUGGUGGAGGGCAGCUAAUGGCGAUCGGUGCUGGAGGACCUGCUGGGGAAGGACAUCCCUCAUGGGGGUCGAGACAUCCGUCUCCGAGAUGUGAAGGCUGCAGAGGACCCACCAGGAUCCCCUUGGAGGACAGCGAUGGGACUGCUUGAGGUCUUUGGAAGCACUUCAGUUCAGAAUGCCUUCCAAAGAAUGAAGCCCAACCCCCAUGGCUCAGCUAAUGGCGUUCAGCGGACCAGGAACCCCGAGACCUGACGGAGGAGCCGUGCAUCUGGAGGAACACCAUGAGGCUACCUGCUAAGUAUGACUCACUUCCACGAGGAGGGGGGCUGGCGGCUGGAGGACCUCCCUGCUGUUGGGGCGAGUGACACCCAACUCUACAGGGCUGACCACGGAGGAGAGAGCUGAAGCUGUGCAUCCUGAAGGCGCGGUUGAAGUGCUGUGUUCAGUCUGGGAAGGACACACCUGAGCUGUUCCACAACUGAAUCUCUUAACCGCUAAAGCCCUUCAGUGACCAACAAAUGGUGCCUCAUCACAGCUCAACAUCGCUGGCCUGUGGAUUCAUCUCCUACACUCACACAACGUGACUUUGUAACCAUCUGUUGCACGUUGGGAUGCUAACGUGUUCCACCAGGGGUUCCUUCCUUCCCACCGUGGGAGUGUUCCUUGUCCUUCGAGGAGUUAGGGUUCAGUGUUAGGGACAGAGUUAGGGAGAGAUGGUUGAGUCCUGGCUGGUUCACGAUGAACCGCUCUGAUGGUUUUUCAAAUUGUGUUUGGAUGCAACGCUUUGCCAAAAUGUUUUAAUGUACAAACACUCACAUAAACAUGCAUAAAAUGUAUACCAAGUGUGUUUAUAAAAUGAAUUCCGAUAA